rnacentral:rRNA from 1 species
AGUGAACGCUGGCGGCAGGCCUAACACAUGCAAGUCGAACGGCAGCACAGGAGAGCUUGCUCUCUGGGUGGCGAGUGGCGGACGGGUGAGGAAUACAUCGGAAUCUACCUUUUCGUGGGGGAUAACGUAGGGAAACUUACGCUAAUACCGCAUACGACCUUAGGGUGAAAGCGGAGGACCUUCGGGCUUCGCGCGGAUAGAUGAGCCGAUGUCGGAUUAGCUAGUUGGCGGGGUAAAGGCCCACCAAGGCGACGAUCCGUAGCUGGUCUGAGAGGAUGAUCAGCCACACUGGAACUGAGACACGGUCCAGACUCCUACGGGAGGCAGCAGUGGAGAAUAUUGGACAAUGGGCGCAAGCCUGAUCCAGCCAUGCCGCGUGGGUGAAGAAGGCCUUCGGGUUGUAAAGCCCUUUUGUUGGGAAAGAAAAGCAGUCGGUUAAUACCCGAUUGUUCUGACGGUACCCAAAGAAUAAGCACCGGCUAACUUCGUGCCAGCAGCCGCCGCGG